rnacentral:lncRNA from 1 species
GUACUUGCUUUGUGUUUUCGAUUUCAUUCAUACCUGCGAUAUUUUUACCCCAUUCUUAACUCAAUAAUUAAUAUGUUUUCAUGCAAGCUUGUAUUUACAUGAAAUUGCAUAAAUGUAGUGAUAAAUAAUUUUUACAUGAAAGGGCGGAGCAACGCAAUCAAAUCGACCAUAGCGAACAGUCUUAAAAACGCAGUUCUCCAUUCCCUCAAUUGUGUUAAC